rnacentral:rRNA from 1 species
GACGAACGCUGGCGGCGUGCUUAACACAUGCAAGCCGAGCGAGGCCCACACCUUCGGGUGUGGUGCCCUAGCGGCGAACGGGUGAGUAACACGUGGGCAACCUGCCCCUAGCACUGGGAUAAGCCCGGGAAACCGGGUCUAAUACCGGAUAUGACGUCGGAGGGCAUCCUCCGGCGUGGAAAGGAUUCCGGCUAGGGAUGGGCCCGCGGCCUAUCAGCUUGUUGGUGGGGUGAUGGCCCACCAAGGCGACGACGGGUAGCCGGCCUGAGAGGGCGACCGGCCACACUGGGACUGAGACACUGCCCAGACUCCUACGGGAGGCAGCAGUGGGGAAUAUUGCACAAUGGGCGAAAGCCUGAUGCAGCGACGCCGCGUGAGGGAUGACGGCCUUCGGGUUGUAAACCUCUUUCAGCUCCGACGAAGCGAAAGUGGCGGUAGGGGCAGAAGAAGCACCGGCCAACUACGUGCCAGCCGCCGCGGUAAAAC